rnacentral:rRNA from 1 species
GGGAGUGGCAAGCGUCAUCCGAAAUUACUGGGCGUAAAGCGUCCGCAGGCGGCUUUUCAAGUCUGCUGUUAAAGCGUGGAGCUUAACUCCAUCAUGGCAGUGGAAACUGAAAGGCUUGAGUAUGGUAGGGGCAGAGGGAAUUCCCGGUGUAGCGGUGAAAUGCGUAGAUAUCGGGAAGAACACCAGUGGCGAAGGCGCUCUGCUGGGCCAUUACUGACGCUCAUGGACGAAAGCCAGGGGAGCGAAAGGGAUUAGAUACCCCUGUAGUCCUGGCCGUAAACGAUGAACACUAGGUGUCGGGGGAAUCGACCCCUUCGGUGUCGUAGCUAACGCGUUAAGUGUUCCGCCUGGGGAGUACGCACGCGAGUGUGAAACUCCAAAGAAUUGACGGGGGCUCGCACAACGGUGGAGUAUGUUGUUUAAUUCCAUGCAACGCGAAGAACCUUACCAGGGUUUGACAUCCUGCAACCUCUUAGAAAUUAGAAGGUGCCUUCGGGAAUGCAGUGA